CAACCUGGCGGCAUGCCUAUAAUGCAAGUCGAACGCUUCUACUAGUUGAGUGCUUGCACUCAACUAGUUAGAGGAGUGGCGGACGGGUGAGUAACACGUGGGUAACCUGCCCAUAAGUGGGGGAUAACAUUCGGGAACGGAUGCUAAUACCGCAUAAUUCUGAUUGCCGCAUGGCAGACAGAUGAAAGGUGGCUUCGGCUACCGCUUAUGGAUGGACCCGCGGCGUAUUAGCUAGUUGGUGAGGUAAUGGCUCACCAAGGCAAUGAUACGUAGCCGACCUGAGAGGGUGAUCGGCCACACUGGGACUGAGACACGGCCCAGACUCCUACGGGAGGCAGCAGUAGGGAAUCUUCCGCAAUGGACGAAAGUCUGACGGAGCAAUGCCGCGUGAGUGAAGAAGGUUUUCGGAUCGUAAAACUCUGUUGUUAGAGAAGAACAAGGAUGAGAGUAACUGCUCAUCCCCUGACGGUAUCUAACCAUAAAGCCAUGGCUAACUACGUGCCGGCAGCCGCGGUAAU
rnacentral:rRNA from 1 species